rnacentral:rRNA from 1 species
GAAUUCGAUUAACGCGAAGAACCUUACCCAGGCUUGAACAGCGAGUGACCAGCGACAAAAGUCGCCUUCCGCAAGGACGCUCGUAGAGGUGCUGCAUGGCUGUCGUCAGCUCGUGUCGUGAGAUGUUGGGUUAAGUCCCGCAACGAGCGCAACCCUUGUCUUCUGUUGCCAUCAGGUUAAGCUGGGCACUCUGGAGAGACUGCCGGUGAUAAACCGGAGGAAGGUGGGGAUGACGUCAAGUCAGCAUGGCCUUUAUGUCUGGGGCUACACACGUGCUACAAUGGCCGGCACAAACCGUCGCGAGCCCGCAAGGGGGAGCUAAUCGGAGAAAGUCGGUCUCAGUUCGGAUCGUCGGCUGCAACUCGCCGGCGUGAAGUUGGAAUCGCUAGUAAUCGCGGAUCAGCACGCCGCGGUGAAUACGUUCCCGGGCCUUGUCACACCGAAUCACUA